GAUGAACGCUGGCGGCGUGCCUAAUACAUGCAAGUCGAGCGAACGGACGAGAAGCUUGCUUCUCUGAUGUUAGCGGCGGACGGGUGAGUAACACGUGGAUAACCUACCUAUAAGACUGGGAUAACUUCGGGAAACCGGAGCUAAUACCGGAUAAUAUUUUGAACCGCAUGGUUCAAAAGUGAAAGACGGUCUUGCUGUCACUUAUAGAUGGAUCCGCGCUGCAUUAGCUAGUUGGUAAGGUAACGGCUUACCAAGGCAACGAUGCAUAGCCGACCUGAGAGGGUGAACGGCCACAGUGGAACUGAGACACGGUCCAGACUCCUACGGGAGGCAGCAGUAGGGAAUCUUCCGCAAUGGGCGAAAGCCUGACGGAGCAACGCCGCGUGAGUGAUGAAGGUCUUCGGAUCGUAAAACUCUGUUAUUAGGGAAGAACAUAUGUGUAAGUAACUGUGCACAUCUUGACGGUACCUAAUCAGAAAGCCACGGCUAACUACGUG
rnacentral:rRNA from 1 species